UUGUGUUCAUACCUAAUUAAUAAAAAACCUACUUAAUCUGUUGAGAUUUUGUUAUGCAGUUAAAAUCACUGACAAUUGCUGGAAACUUGCCAACUUUAAGUGAAGAUCACUUAAAAGUGACUCAGUGAUGGUGGCUCUAAGGACGCUCUAUGGCGUAGCCGCAGUUGGAGGAAUGGUCACAGCACUCACAGGCUACACACUUCACGGAAUAUUGCAGAAAAGGGUGCGAGACUCUCCUGUUUAUAAGGAGACGAUGAAAAUAAUCAACACUAAUCCUGUUGGUUCAAGAUAUCUAGGUGUUCCUGUACGAAGCGAUAACGUUGAUGUUACAAACAGCAGCAAUAUUUUGUCUCAGAGAUAUUGCCAGUUAGAACUCCCGGUGUAUGGUUCUAGAUGUAAGGGAAAGGUAUAUUUGCAAGCGGACAGGCUCACGGCUGAAGACGAGUGGAAUCUGUACAAGUUAGAAUUAGAAGUUCUUGAUGAUCUUGGUGGAAAAGUGAACAUAAUCAAUAAAGAACCUGCAUUGCAAAAGGAGACAACUUCAUUUUAAGUAGUAAAGAAUAUGUGUAUUUUGUUAAGUUUUAAUGUGCCUUAUUAAUAUUUCAGCUUGAUCCAACUAUAUAAAUAAACGUGUUAUUGAAUCGA